rnacentral:rRNA from 1 species
AUUAAACGCUGGCGGCAUACCUUACACAUGCAAGUCGAACGGCAGCACGGGGGCAACCCUGGUGGCGAGUGGCGAACGGGUGAGUAAAGCAUCGGAACGUGCCCUGGAGUGGGGGAUAACGUAGCGAAAGUUACGCUAAUACCGCAUAUUCUGUGAGCAGGAAAGCAGGGGAUCGCAAGACCUUGCGCUCUGGGGAGCGGCCGAUGUCGGAUUAGCUAGUUGGUGGGGUAAAGGCCUACCAAGGCGACGAUCCGUAGCGGGUCUGAGAGGAUGAUCCGCCACACUGGGACUGAGACACGGCCCAGACUCCUACGGGAGGCAGCAGUGGGGAAUUUUGGACAAUGGGCGAAAGCCUGAUCCAACCAUGCCGCGUGAGUGAAGAAGGCC